GAACGCUGGCGGCGUGCCUAAUACAUGCAAGUCGAGCGAACAGAUGAGGAGCUUGCUCCUCUGACGUUAGCGGCGGACGGGUGAGUAACACGUGGAUAACCUACCUAUAAGACUGGGAUAACUUCGGGAAACCGGAGCUAAUACCGGAUAAUAUAUUGAACCGCAUGGUUCAAUAGUGUAAGACGGUUUUGCUGUCACUUAUAGAUGGAUCCGCGCCGCAUUAGCUAGUUGGUAAGGUAACGGCUUACCAAGGCAACGAUGCGUAGCCGACCUGAGAGGGUGAUCGGCCACACUGGAACUGAGACACGGUCCAGACUCCUACGGGAGGCAGCAGUAGGGAAUCUUCCGCAAUGGGCGAAAGCUUGACGGAGCAACGCCGCGUGAGUGAUGAAGGUCUUCGGAUCGUAAAACUCUGUUAUUAGGGAAGAACAAAUGUGUAAGUAACUAUGCACGUCUUGACGGUACCUAAUCAGAAAGCCACGGCUAACUACGUG
rnacentral:rRNA from 1 species